AUGAAAGAAAUGGAAAGGCUUCUUUCACAACAUGCUUCUUGCAGAAAAACAACUUUUGUCAGCUUUCUGGAGUCAGUGAGCCUAUACUGCAGCAGGCCUGGGUCACAGCCAGAAAGUGAUUGUCUUCAGAGGAUUAUGGGCAUGCCCCAGAGGAUGGAAUUGCCAAGGAGUAGUGGAGUGCCCACUCAGGCAAUGCAGGCUUUCAAUAAUGAUGUCACCAGUAUCUAGAUCUUGAUUUCAUAUUGAAGCCUCCAUCCAGUUUCUUCAGUACUAUUCCAUGCCUCUCCUCCUUGAUGCUUUGACUAUCAUUUAAAACACCCUAUUUCCUCUGAGGAUGAAAAAAACGGGGAGAAGAAUCCUCAUGCAAGAAGAAACAAGACCUCAUCUCUGAUUGUUCCAGAUUGUUCUCUCUUUCAUGUCUUUACACUGUACUGUGGCUUCUCGGGAGCUGUCCUUGUGUUAGUUCACUUCAUGGUCCAUUAAAAUCUGUAUAUUCAAUAAAAUCUGUACAAACACAUUGCUUCCA
rnacentral:lncRNA from 1 species